GAUGAGACCUGGGAAAUGAAACUAAUUAUAACGAUUGUUUUAAAACAACGGUACACGCGUUGAUGUCGACGAACGUGUUCUACCAAUUUGGCUUAAGGUGUAACUCUUGGUGGUGGCACAGACUUCUACGGGAGGUGCGUGUGUCAUACAGGACAGACGUAAACGAGCUCACAGGACCUAAUUCUACCGUUCCUCGAUUUUCAUAACUCCACGUUCAUUCAACGAAAGAAGAUCCAUCCAACACCACCAUAAGGGCCUUGUUCCAACUAUGGCCGCAGUCCUUGCGUUUGUCUACAUAGCCACGGCAAAAGUUCCCAAAUCGCCAAAGAACACCACGAAAAACCGGCCGCUGCAGGAUCUGGAGGAGAUGGUGGGGGGAUUAAAACAAACAAGUUUUUGGUAUCGUUUGUAAUCGUGCUGUAGACAGGAUCUGGAAGAGAUGGGGGGAAUGAAAACAGACAGAUUUUUGGUAUCGUUUGUAAUCGUGCUGUAGAUGCAUACGUCUCAACCUUGAGCGACUUGGGUGUCGGGUAAGCGGAAGUUUUCAAGACGACGGGCCUAGAGAUGGCAGUAGUGGAAACUUUAAAGAUGUCAACGGCAGAGGCCAAACGGGAAGACUUGGUAGUCCUCACGGUGAAAGUUUGAAAGCCAGAAAAUCAAGCCGGGCUAACUUUGAUGGCUUCAGCAACAAUGAUUUACAGAGUGGCAGGGGUGCUGUCAUUGGUGGAGGGUUCGAUAAAAGCAGUUUUCUCGCUAGUAAUUAUGAUGGAAGGUUUGGAAAUUCCGCUUUUAAAGACUACUAUACAGUUCCUGCUGUGGCAGUGGUUACUAACGAGGACAGUGAAAAUUUCUUUUACCAAUGAGACAUAAUGUUUGUGACUGAAAGUGGUGUUCUCAAAAAACAACAGGCAAUUAUUUCAAUAAACAUAUUGAAAGUGUUGACCAAUAAGGACAUUAAAGGUUACUGUAAUAACUGUACGCAUAAUGUAGAAACAGAGUAUAAUAAUUUUCGUUUACAAAUUCAGGAACUAUAUAUAUGCUGACGUAGUGGAAUAUGGGAUAGUUGUAUUAUACUGUAGCAAGGUGUUAAGUAUGCAAAACGAUAUGUGUUAAAAUACUGAAAUAUGG